rnacentral:rRNA from 1 species
AUUGAACGCAGGCGGCAGGCCUAACACAUGCAAGUCGAGCGGGGUUUUCGGACCUAGCGGCGGACGGGUGAGUAAUGCGUAGGAAGCUGCCCGAUAGAGGGGGAUACCAGUUGGAAACGACUGUUAAUACCGCAUAAUGUCUACGGACCAAAGUGUGGGACCUUCGGGCCACAUGCUAUCGGAUGCGCCUACGUGGGAUU